rnacentral:rRNA from 1 species
GGGUGCGGAACACGUACGCAACUUACCCAAAACUGAUGAAUAGCCCUCCGAAAGGAGGAUUAAUACAUCGUAACCUAGUGAAGUGGCAUCACUUUAUUAGUAUAGCUCCGGCGGUUUUGGAUGGGCGUGCGCCUGAUUAGGUAGUUGGUGUGGGUAACGGCCCACCAAGCCUGCGAUCAGUAACUGGUGUGAGAGCACGACCAGUCACACGGGCACUGAGACACGGGCCCG